rnacentral:misc_RNA from 1 species
AAGUCGUAACAAGGUAACCGUAGGUGAACCUGCGGUUGGAUCAUUAAUGAAGGCUUUUAUGCCAAACCAGCUUUUUUAAGCUGACCCACCUUGUGUGAACCGUUAAAAUGUUUUUAGGCGGAGAGGGUUUUUUAAGUUGGGGUUUGAAUACUUCUUCUUCUUUAAUCCAAAGUCUUUAAUUAGAUAACAUCUCCGCCUACUGCUAUUUUCUUGAAAAAGAAGAUGGCAAAGCAAAAACAAACCUUUUAUUGUCUUUCAAAUUAUAAAUCUAAACAAAUUUUUACAUUCUAAAAUAAAAUUUCGAAUGAAAAAACAACUUUUGACAACGGAUCUCUUGGUUCCC